GUGGGGAAUCUUGCGCAAUGGGCGAAAGCCUGACGCAGCCAUGCCGCGUGAAUGAUGAAGGUCUUAGGAUUGUAAAAUUCUUUCACCGGGGACGAUAAUGACGGUACCCGGAGAAGAAGCUCCGGCUAACUUCGUGCCAGCAGCCGCGGUAAUACGAAGGGGGCUAGCGUUGCUCGGAAUUACUGGGCGUAAAGGGCGCGUAGGCGGACAGCUUAGUCAGAGGUGAAAGCCCAGGGCUCAACCUUGGAAUUGCCUUUGAUACUGGCUGUCUUGAGUUUGGGAGAGGUGAGUUGAACUCCGAGUGUAGAGGUGAAAUUCGUAGAUAUUCGGAAGAACACCAGUGGCGAAGGCGACUCACUGGCCCAAUACUGACGCUGAGGCGCGAAAGCGUGGGGAGCAAACAGGAUUAGAUACCGAGUAGUCC
rnacentral:rRNA from 1 species